UACGUAGGGGGCGAGCGUUGUCCGGAUUUAUUGGGCGUAAAGGGCGCGUAGGCGGUCAGCACAAGUUCAGUUGUGAAAUCUCCGGGCUUAACUCGGAAAGGUCAACUGAUACUGUGCGACUAGAGUGCGGAAGGGGCAACUGGAAUUCUCGGUGUAGCGGUGAAAUGCGUAGAUAUCGAGAGGAACACCUGCGGCGAAGGCGGGUGCUGGGCCGAACACUGACGCUGAUGCGCGAAAGCCCAGGGGAGCGG
rnacentral:rRNA from 1 species